rnacentral:rRNA from 1 species
ACKGCUCAGUAACACGUGGCUAACCUGCCCUUGGGACGGGAACAUCCCCGGGAAACUGGGGCCAAUUUCCGAUAGGUGAAGAACCCUGGAAUGAGUCUUCGCUCAAAAGGCGCCUAGGGCAUGCUUCUAGGUGUUGCCCAAGGAUGGGGCCGCGGCCGAUCAGGUUGUUGGUGAGGUAAUGGCUCACCAAGCCUUUAACCGGUACGGGCCGUGGGAGCGGUAGCCCGGAGAUGGGAACUGAGACAAGGUCCCAGGCCCUACGGGGCGCAGCCGUUGCGAAACCUCGUCAAUGCACGAAAGUGUGAACGGGCUACCCCGAGUGCUGUCCGCUGAGGAUGGCUUUUCUCUGCUGUAAGGAAGCGGAGGAAUAAGGCGAGGGCAAGUCUGGUGUCAGCCGCCGCGGUAAUACCAGCUCGCCGAGUGGUAGGGAUGAUUAUUGGGCUUAAAGCGUCCGUAGCCGGCCUCUCAAGUCUCUCGUUAAAUCCAGCGAUUCAAUCGUUGGACUGCGGGAGAUACUGUGAGGCUAGGGGGCGGGAGAAGCCGACGGUAUUUCCGGGGUAGGGGUAAAAUCCUAUAAUCCCGGGAAGACCACCAGUGGCGUAGGCGGUCGGCUAGCACGCGCUCGACGGUGAGGGACGAAAGCUGGGGGAGCGAACCGGAUUAGAUACCCGGGUAGUCCCAGCUGUAAACGAUGCGGGCUAGGUGUUGGAGCGGCUACGAGCCGCUUCAGUGCCGCAGGGAAGCCAUUAAGCCCGCCGCCUGGGGAGUACGGCCGCAAGGCUGAAACUUAAAGGAAUUGGCGGGGGAGCAC